AGACGUCUACAUUAGAUACCCGGGUAGUCCCAGCCGUAAACUAUGCGCGUUAGGUGUAUCGGUGACCACGAGUCACCGAGGUGCCGAAGGGAAACCGUGAAACGUGCCGCCUGGGAAGUACGGUCGCAAGGCUGAAACUUAAAGGAAUUGGCGGGGAGCACCACAACGGGUGGAGCCUGCGGUUUAAUUGGAUUCAACGCCGGACAUCUCACCGGAUAAGACAGCUGAAUGAUUGUCAAUCUGAAGGUUUUACAUGACUAGCUG
rnacentral:rRNA from 1 species